rnacentral:rRNA from 1 species
AGAACGAACGCUGGCGGCAUGCCUAAUACAUGCAAGUCGAACGAACUCUUCGGAGUUAGUGGCGCACGGGUGCGUAACGCGUGGGAAUCUGCCCUUGGGUUCGGAAUAACAGUUGGAAACGACUGCUAAUACCGGAUGAUGACGAAAGUCCAAAGAUUUAUCGCCCAGGGAUGAGCCCGCGUAGGAUUAGCUAGUUGGUGAGGUAAGGGCUCACCAAGGCGACGAUCCUUAGCUGGUCUGAGAGGAUGAUCAGCCACACUGGGACUGAGACACGGCCCAGACUCCUACGGGAGCAGCAGUAGGGAAUAUGGAACAAGUGGGACGAAAGCCUGAUCCAGCAAUGCCGGCGUGACGUGAUGGAAGUCCGUUAGGUUGUAAAG